rnacentral:rRNA from 1 species
AGUGAACGCUGGCGGUAGGCCUAACACAUGCAAGUCGAACGGCAGCACAGUAAGAGCUUGCUCUUACGGGUGGCGAGUGGCGGACGGGUGAGGAAUACAUCGGAAUCUACUUUUUCGUGGGGGAUAACGUAGGGAAACUUACGCUAAUACCGCAUACGACCUACGGGUGAAAGCAGGGGAUCUUCGGACCUUGCGCGAUUGAAUGAGCCGAUGUCGGAUUAGCUAGUUGGCGGGGUAAAGGCCCACCAAGGCGACGAUCCGUAGCUGGUCUGAGAGGAUGAUCAGGCACACUGGAACUGAGACACGGUACAGACUCCUACGGGAGGCAGCAGUGGGGAAUAUUGGACAAUGGGCGCAAGCCUGAUCCAGCCAUACCGCGUGGGUGAAGAAGGCCUUCGGGUUGUAAAGCCCUUUUGUUGGGAAAGAAAAGCAGCAGGUUAAUACCCCGCUGUUCUGACGGUACCCAAAGAAUAAGCACCGGCUAACUUCGUG